rnacentral:rRNA from 1 species
GACGAACGCUGGCGGCGUGCUUAACACAUGCAAGUCGAACGGAAAGGCCCUGCUUUUGUGGGGUGCUCGAGUGGCGAACGGGUGAGUAACACGUGAGUAAACUGCCCUUAACUUUGGGAGAACUUCAGGAAACUGGGGCUAAUACCGGAGAGGAUCUCCUGCUGCAUGGGGGGGGUUGGAAAGUGUCGGCGGUGGUGGAUGGAUUAGAGGCUUAUCAGCUGGAUUGUGGGGUAGUUGCAUACAAAGGCUUUGACGGGUAGGCGGCCUGGGAGGUCGGCCGGCCUCAUUGGGCCUGAGAUACGGCGCAGACGCCUAUGGGAGGCAGCAGUGGGGAGUAUUGCACAGUGGGCGGAAGCCUGAUGCAGCAGCGUCGCGUGCGGGAUGACGGCCUUCGGGUUGUAAACCGCUUUCGCCUGUGACGAAGCGUUCGUGACGGUAAUGGGUAAAGAAGCACCGGCUAACUACGUG